rnacentral:rRNA from 1 species
UACGGGGGGGGCAAGCGUUGUUCGGAAUUACUGGGCGUAAAGGGCGCGUAGGCGGCAAUUCAAGUCACUUGUGAAAUCUCCGAGCUUAACUCGGAACGGUCAAGUGAUACUGCUUUGCUAGAGUGCAGAAGGGGCAACCGGAAUUCUUGGUGUAGCGGUGAAAUGCGUAGAUAUCAAGAGGAACACCGGAGGUGAAGACGGGUUGCUGGGCUGACACUGACGCUGAGGCGCGAAAGCUAGGGUAGCAAACGGG